CAAAUAAGUUCUUUAUUUAUUUUUUCGUUUGUGCUCAUUUGUAUUUAUUAUUAUAAUCCGUCUUAUUGAUUAUUUCGUUUGCUAUUCAACAGUUUAUUAUAUUUGACACCUAAUGAGCUGUGAUUAGUUAUUUUUUAUGUUGCGUAUUCAAAUCAUUCGUUAUUAUGCAUACGAAGUUACUAAAUAUAUUUAUUAUUUUAGCUGUUCUUAUUUAAUUACCAUACACUCAUAGUUGAUAUAGUUUGAUUUUAGUUUGAUAUAAUUGUUAAUAUAAUGUUAAGUGCAUUGGUAGUUCGUGUUCUGUGGGGUCACCCAAAGUGGUAACCUUCCCAUUCGCUGCUCCCGUUGCUGUCGCUUCUGUGGCUGCCACUGGAUUGUUGAAAGUUGAGUGUUGAAUGUUGAAUGUUGUUUUUGGACGUGCUACCAGCGACGAAAUUUCAACCGUGGAUCCCUCGCCGCCUUUUAUUGUAAUUUAUCGACUCGGAUGCUACGUGAGUGUUAUUGAAAAUGGUCAUUUCGCUGUCAGCACCUCGAGGCACCUCGACAAGUCUGGCCUACCUCCAGCAGUAUUAUCAGCACAUGUACAUACAUAUUAUAUGUACAAGUACGAGUAUAAGUAUCUACAUAGCAGGCUGGGUCUUUAAGUUUAAUGUAUUCAAACAUUGAACUUUUAUUUGCUGUGCAAGUGACCAUAAUGAUGAUGAGGAAGGGGAGGGCGUGGCCGCAACGGUUGUUGAUUACGCCUACCAUGCGGAUUUUUGCAUUAUUGAUUUGUAAACACAGCAAUGCUUUUUGUACUUCUAUGCAAAACCUCAAGGAAACUGUAUGGAUGGCUACGCAGAUAAAAUUAAAUAAUAAUUCACAUGCAAACGGCGAAGCAUAAAUAUGUUAACAACAUAUACUACAUAUAUGUAGAUGAACGGAAUUAUAACUAUUUGGAGGCCCAGAUGGUGAUGGUUUUCGCUGUAAAUGCUGUCAAACUUACAUUUUUUCUAUACACCUUUUACAGCCCCCAUAACUUAUUGGAUUUUAUGGUUUUUUUGGUUAACCUCAGAAUAAAUAUUCAGUUGCGGUUUUUUUUGUUUUUUAUAGACAAGAAUUUUGCACAUGGGAGUGGUUUUCAUUUGACAGAAUCCACAGCGAAGAAGUUAAUUAAUGUUUUGAAACUGUGGACGGGAAAAAAUAUGAUUAAUUGGGGUUUUACGUUUUAUAAAUUUGCAUAACAAAUUGAAUAGGGUUGCUUACAGUUAAGUGCAACUGAUAAUUUGGAAAGGAAUGAAAAUCGGAGCUGAAAACAUUGUUAAGCAAUAUACGAGUAUAAUUGAUGCCUUACACCUUUAAGUACAUACAUAAUCCAGAAUAAGCUUAGUGCGCAAUAAAUGGUAGUCUGUUUUAGUUAAUGUGCUAAAGUGGCAAACCCUCCUCACUGAAUUUAGACAUUGCCUUCCACGUAUGUGGGCUCCGCCCCAAAAGUCGCAUGAAAUUGGAUAUUGGGAUAUGGCCAGACAAUAAAGUGAACCAAAUUACGGGGAACGCUGGACAUUUGCUACGCCACAUUCAUAAAUAAGCGAGUGUUUGGCACAUUUUGAUGGAUCGCCAGACAUUUGUCAUAAUGCUGGAAAUAAAAGCCACAACAGAAGAGCCGAAAAUAAAAACCGGAUUCGAUUCUCCCGCCAGAAGAUCGAAUACGAAAGACAGACGAGUAUAUGAAAGACAGGCCUCCCCGGCCCCAAUUUUCGUUACGAACUCUAAUUCCAAUUUCGAUUCCUAGAUUAAAACACAAAAAAAUAUUUCAUCAAUGUGUGGGCAUCGCAGUUUCGCAAGACGCGACUUCCCAUUGAUUGGCGAUAAUUACUCAAGGGUUGAAGGGGUUUUGACCGCACGAAAAAUGGACGAUGAACGACGAACGAUGGACGUUGGAGGAUGGCCACUUAGCAGUGGCGUGUUAAUGGUCCACUCUAAUGUCGCACAUUAAUUGUCGCGAUGACUGAUCACUCACGGGAAGGCUAUGCAAAGUCUGGUCUGGAUUACGGAUUGUACAUUAUUGAUAUGUGGAUUACGAAUUUCAGACUACGAAUUUCACCUGGGCCAGCGCAAACAAAUAUGCAGCUUAUCAAUUAGAUAGUUCGCAAAUUGCUGCUAAUUGCAAUUUGCUCUUCGAUGGGAGGGGGAAGGGGGCGAAAUAAAUAUUGUGGAUUUUUAUUGGAAAAAACUAAAUAGUUUUCUCAGCCUCCUCGCUAUUUGUUUAAUUUUUGCAAUAAUAUUUGUAUUUGUAUUUGUAUUCGCGCUUUUCACGUACUUUGCUCAAUAUUUUUUUCUUCUUCUAAUUUUGUGUGUUAUUUGUAUUUCGUUUUUUUUCCUCCCUUUUUUUCGUUUUUUUUUUUUGAAGCAGCUGUGCUAAUUUUUUCCCGCUAUUGUUUGGAAAACUUACCCUGAGAGACGCGAACAACGGGAAAAAAAAUACAAAAUAAAUAAAUAUUAAGUACAUAAAUGGUAUUUACCGCCAGUUGGAAAGAGUUUACUACGUCAAUUUGUGUGGCGUGUGGCAAAGGCAACGCAGGCAGCACGAGGAAGGUCGUGAGCACGGCUUUGGAUCGGAUCGGAUCGGAUCGUAUCCGAUCGUAUCCAUCGUAUCGGAUCGUAUCGGAUCGUAUCAGAUCGUAUCUAGAACAUCUCGAAUGUAGCUGUAGUAUCUGGAAGUAGCAUUGUGUUCUCGGGGGGUGGGCGGUAUGAGUCGACAUUGAAAUGUAGUUCGCAUUUGAUAGUCAAGGUCCCCGGUUUUCUUGGGAUUGUGAAACGUUUUUGGGGGCGGAUGUUUGGGGCGGUGUCAUUGAUCUAUUGUGGGAGAAAAGUGCUCUCUUGUUGAAAAGCUCGCUUAAUUGGAAAUUCGUCUAGCACGUAAGGUAAUUUGCCAAAUGUAAUGACGCACGUGAAUAUUUACAGAGACCCCGGUUCUUUUGUCCUUCCUAAAAUGUUUAUAUUUAUAACAUUUAGCUUUUAAUUUCAUUGUGAAUAUAUCCGUAUAUUUUGUAAAUCGAAUAAUUGCACUUGCCAUUUUUACACAACCUCACGGAUAAAUCAAUUGGCGAAUUUUUCAGCGUAAAUGGGCACGCUCGAUGCUAAAGAAGAUGGCCGAAAAGUUGUAAACUUAAUGAGCCAUAAUCGCAGAAUAAUAAAAUCAAUAAAAUGCAAUCAACUGGGACAGUCCAGAUCAACUGAAUAUAUAUCCCAUUGUUAAGCAAUAAAAUGCGGCAUAAAAUCGCUGGGCAGCGUUAUAAAAAUUGCAAUUGAAAUGGAUCCGAGCAAAAAGCGACAUUCUUGUUUUCGGGGUGUGGCUGCUGUUAAUUCAAGAUUUCAGACCAAAGACCACCGACCACCGAGCACCGACCACAGAAUAUUGCGCAUACGCCACGUGCAGCCAAGUGAGCAAUGUCAACGAAAAAAACUACAAAACAAACUAAUCAAAUAAACAAGAAACAGUUUAGAAAGGUUUUACCAACUUGUCAGGCAAAUAAUUAUGCUGUUUUCUGUUCUAAGUUAUGAGUGGCUUGAUUCGUUUUUCAAGACUUUUAAAGAACUUGUCUACUCACUUUUGAGCUUCGGUAUAUAUUACGCUUUGAUGUAACUCUUAAUAAAUGGAGCAUUAAUAUACGUUAUAUUUUAAGUUAUUUUAUUAAUAUGUACAAUUUUGCUGGAAAUAAAAUGCUUGAAUCUUGCGACGCUCAUAUUUUUGCCAUGUUCUUCUGUCAAUUGUUGAAAUUUGUUUAGUUAUGCUUUUCCUCGUGCCUUUUUGUUUACUCUGGUCACUGAGCGAGCCAACUACCUGUGCCGGGCAUUUAUGUAAUUGUCUGUCUGGCC